AUGCAGCUCCACUAUUGCAGCUUGAAUGUCCACAUCAGUAUUCUGGUAAAAUCAGAACAUGUUCAGUAUUUUGGUAAAAAAAAUGCAGACCACAAUUGUCUGUCAUAUGGUGCCUUGCCACUGGGCGUACCACUACCAUCUCCCGCAGCAGCUCCUGUGGCGUCCCUUUCGAUCAGGGGCCUCCAGAUCGGCGCUCAGCACAAGCAGUGCGCAUACGGCUGCUACACACCCGUCCCCGCCACGACAUGCAACAGCAUCAACCCGUCAGUAAUUUUAAAAAGGGGUGUGGUGUUCUAUUUUAGACGUGGCCCUUCUUUAGUCUUGGACAUAAUUUCAAAUCUCUUUUUCUGUGAGUUCAUCGGGACACAAAGUUCUUUACGUAUUCUAAAAAGAACUAUCAUGCACACUGUGUUCCAAUAUUAG
rnacentral:rRNA from 1 species